UACGGUCAUAUCAAGUUGUAACAUCGGUUCAUAUACGACCAUCGAAGUUAGGCAACGAAGAGCCUGGUCAAUACCUAGAUGGGUGACCGCUUGGGAAUACCAGGUGCU